UGAAUGUGUGUUAGAGAGAUGGUAUGAAGGUGUGUUAGAGAGAAGAGAGAUGGUAUGAAUGUGUCAGAGAGAAGAGAGAUGGUAUGGAUGUGUCAGAGAGAAGAGAGAUGGUAUGAAUGUGUGUUAGAGAGAUGGUAUGAAUGUGUCAGAGAGAAGAGAGAUGGUAUGAAUGUGUCAGAGAGAAGAGAGAUGGUAUGGAUGUGUCAGAGAGAAGAGAGAUGGUAUGAAUGUGUGUUAGAGAGAUGGUAUGAAUGUGUGUCAGAGAGAAGAGAGAUGGUAUGAAGGUGUGUUAGAGAGAAGAGAGAUGGUAUGAAGGUGUGUUAGAGAGAAGAGAGAUGGUAUGAAUGUGUGUUAGAGAGAAGAGAGAU
ensembl:lncRNA